GAGUUCCUCUUUGCCUCUGUUUAAUUUUAUUUACUUGUAACUUAUAAGCUGUAUAUUGUUUUAGUUAAGGGGCUGAAACCACUGAUCUGAAGUCCACUUAUGCAAAGACAAAAGAACCAGUUUUAGCAACAGCCCAUAGAGUAGUGAGACAAAGGACAUUAGUCGAGAGAAGGAUGGCACGUCAUCAGAAAUCUUCAUCAGAGCCUUCAUUCCUUGGUUGCCGUUGAAAUUUGAAAACAGAAAGACACCAUUAGGAUUACAAAUGAUUGGCAGAAAUGUAUACAUGCUUCAGUCGAUAAUGACUCUAUAUUGAUGAUAACUUAAGAUAGCAUUGCUAGACGAGUAAGGAGGUGAAGACGAGUAUGCGAUAGUACUUUCAAGUAUGCGAUGAAGACUGACUAUUGCGGAGGCCAAAGCCGUGCUAUGGGGGUGGGUUUGAAGGUGAGGAAGGAACUACUCUUGCGUCGACUAAUCAUUGAGAGUGACUGUUUUGCUGGUUAUACAAGCUCUUUUAAGUUGGAUCCGAGGGAAGCAGCAAUUUUUCUUGUUUAUUGACGACAUUCUUGUUUUUUUGUUCUUAUUUUGAUGUAGUUUUUUGGUCAUUUGUUAAACGUAUCUGGAAUAAGCUUGCUCAUAACGUAUAUAGCCGUAUCCAACCUAAGAAAUUUCUGUAAAGAUUGUGGGAAGAUGAUCUUCCGAGUAGUGAAUGGGUCAUAGCUCGCUUUUAUA